GUUUUGUGGCUCAGUCGGGUAAAGCGAUGACUGCCGCCCACACGUCCGGGGUUCGAACCCCGGCUGGGGCCA